AUGUGGAAUUUAAGCUUCACAGGAGUUGCUUUCGUUAAGGGUAACUCUUGUGAUGUCUUUCAUUGUGCUGCCGAUAAUAAGAAAGAAAAUCCCAGAUUAGACGACCGAAUCACACACACACAGGAGAGCAUGUAUUUGUACAGGGACCAAAUCAAUGUGAACAUGCAAUGGCUCAAUAUUACAUUGUCACUGAACUUGCAGCCAAAUCGCCGUGUGGGGCAUGGCGGCCGGAGGCGGCCUAGAAAUGAAGCUCUUGCUGGCCUCUAUGUGAAAUUAGAUCUUAACCCACACUUUACUUUCCCAUUUGAUGAUCACCCCACCACUCUCAAAGAUUGA
rnacentral:rRNA from 1 species